AGCCCUUACCGCAGCCACCCCAUCCCCAACACUGGGCUACACGGCUACGGCAAGCCUGGACAGCAUGGCCGAACUGUUAUUUAUUUAAUUAAUCGACCAUCAAUAACAUUAGCUAUCGUAGCUAGGUUACUUGUAAAGUUUGUUAGCCACAUGCAAUAAUGCUGAUAGGGCAGGAAGGACAGGUGACAUGAAGAGGCACCAGACAACAAAGCCCAGUCCACAAUAUGGAUCCAAACACACAGCCACUUCACGGGAUGGAUACAGCUCACACUGCAACUUUAUAGAGCGGCACAAAGCACUGGUAGCACUGUGAGACAUCUUUUUAAAGCAAAGGGACAGAGACAAAAUGAAGAAACAGGAUCUUCUUGGCUACAGGAUCAUCUUUAAAUCCAUAAGACUAGAGAGGGCUAGAAACCAUGGAAUUCAUUUGCUUCAGGAUUAGCUAAAAAUAUACUCCUGGACAGACAUGAACAACUGUGUAAAUCACAAACAAUUAAAAUGGUCAUUG